rnacentral:rRNA from 1 species
GAUGAACGCUAGCGAUAGGCUUAACACAUGCAAGUCGAGGGGCAGCACAAGGUAGCUUGCUAUCUGGGUGGCGACCGGCGCACGGGUGCGUAACGCGUAUGCAACUUGCCCUAUACAGGAGGAUAACCCGUCGAAAGACGGACUAAUACUGCGUAUGCUCACAACUUGGCAUCAAGUGGUGAGGAAAGAAUUUCGGUAUAGGAUAGGCAUGCGUCCCAUUAGCUUGUUGGUGAGGUAACGGCUCACCAAGGCAACGAUGGGUAGGGGAACUGAGAGGUUUAUCCCCCAGACUGGUACUGAGACCCGGACCAGAAUCAUACGGGAGGCAGCAGUGAGGAAUAUUAGUCAAUGGGCGCGAGCCUGAACCAGCCAAGUCGCGUGAAGGAUGACUGUCUUAUGGAUUGUAAACUUCUUUUAUACGGGAAUAACAAGAGUAACGUGUGACUCCCUGAAUGUACCGAAUGAAUAAGCAUCGGCUAACUCCGUG